rnacentral:rRNA from 1 species
UACGAAGGGGGCUAGCGUUGUUCGGAAUUACUGGGCGUAAAGCGCACGUAGGCGGGUUGUUAAGUCAGGGGUGAAAUCCCGGAGCUCAACUCCGGAACUGCCCUUGAUACUGGCAACCUGGAGUUCGGAAGAGGUGAGUGGAAUUCCCAGUGUAGAGGUGAAAUUCGUAGAUAUUGGGAAGAACACCAGUGGCGAAGGCGGCUCACUGGUCCGAUACUGACGCUGAGGUGCGAAAGCGUGGGGAGCAAACAGG